rnacentral:rRNA from 1 species
GUUUGAUCCUGGCUCAGAAUGAACGUUGGCGGCGUGCCUAACACAUGCAAGUCGAGCGUGAAAGUCCUUCGGGAUGAGUAAAGCGGCGGACGGGUGAGUAACGCGUGAGAAUUUCCCUUUCAGUGAAGAAUACCUUUGAGAAAUUAAAGUUAAUACUGCAUACGUCUCGAUAAGAGAGAAAGAUGGCCUAAUUGCUGUCGUUGAAAGAUAAGCUUGCGUUCUAUUAGCUAGUUGGUGAGGUAAUGGCUCACCAAGGCGAUGAUGGAUAGCCGGCCUGAGAGGGCGAACGGCCACAUUGGAACUUAGACACGGUCCAAACUCCUACGGGAGGCAGCAGUGAGGAAUAUUGCACAAUGGGCGAAAGCCUGAUGCAGCGACGCCGCGUGGAGGAUGACGGUCUUCGGAUUGUAAACUCCUGUUAAGUGUGAAAAAAGAGUCGCUUUUAAUAGAGGCGAAAGAUGAUGGUAACACUAGAGAAAGCACCGGCUAACUUCGUGCCAGCAGCCGCGGUAAUACGAGGGGUGCAAACGUUAUUCGGAAUCACUGGGCGUAAAGGGUGCGUAGACGGCAAAAUAAGUCAAUCAUUAAAUCUCCUGGCUUAACUAGGAAUCUGUGGUUGAAACUGAUUUGCUUGAGGAUGGAAGAGAGAAGUGGAAUUCUCGGAGUAGCGGUAAAAUGCGUAGAUCUCGAGAGGAACACCGAUGGCGAAGGCAGCUUCUUGGUCCAUUUCUGACGUUGAGGCACGAAAGCGUGGGGAGCAAACAGGAUUAGAUACCCUGGUAGUCCACGCUGUAAACGAUGACCAUUAGAUGUUGGGUCCGCUUUAGGGCUCAGUGUCGCAGCUAACGCGUUAAAUGAUCCGCCUGGGAAGUACGGUCGCAAGAUUAAAACUUAAAGGAAUUGACGGGGGUCCGCACAAGCGGUGGAACAUGUGGUUUAAUUCGACACUACGCGAGAAACCUUACCUAGACUUGACAUGUAUUUGAUAGCUGCGGAAACGUAGUUUUCUAAGCUUCGGUUUAGACAUUUGCACAGGUGCUGCAUGGCUGUCGUCAGCUCGUGUCGUGAGAUGUUUGGUUAAGUCCUCUAACGAGCGCAACUCCUAUCGCUAGUUGCAACCCUUUUGGGGCACUCUAGUGAAACUGCCUGGGAAACCAGGAGGAAGGUGGGAAUGACGUCAAGUCAUCAUGGUCCUUACGUCUAGGGCUACACACGUGUUACAAUGGCUGGUACAAAGAGUUGCGAACUUGUAAAAGUAAGCUAAUCUCAAAAAACCAGUCUAAGUUCGGAUUGAGGUCUGCAAUUCGACCUCAUGAAGUUGAAAUCGCUAGUAAUCGCGCAUCAGAACGGCGCGGUGAAUUCGUUCUCGGACCUUGUACACACCGCCCGUCACACCAUGAGAGUUUUUUAUACCCGAAGUUGUCUUAGCUAACCGUAAGGAGGCGGAUAGUGACGGUAUGGGAGAUGAUUGGGGUGAAGUCGUAACAAGGUAGCCGUA